CCCUUAGAUGUUCUGGGCCGCACGCGCGCUACACUGAUGCAUUCAACGAGUCUAAAACCUGCUCUGAUAGGGGUGGGUAAUCGUUUGAAUGUGCAUCGUGAUUGGGAUAGAUGAUUGCAAUUUUUCAUCUUCAACGAGGAAUGCCUAGUAAACGCAAGUCAUCAGCUUGCAUUGAUUACGUCCCUGCCCUUUGUACACACCGCCCGUCGCUCCUACCGAUUGAAUGAUCCGAUGAAUAUCAUGGAUUGAGGAUGCAAGUAGGUUCGCCUAUCUUCAUCUUCGAGAAGUGAAGUAAAUCUUAUCAUUUAGAGGAAGGAGAAGUCGUAACA
rnacentral:rRNA from 1 species